ACGCUCGACACCUACGGGGGGCAGCAGUGGGGAAUAUUGCACAAUGGGGGAAACCCUGAUGCAGCGACGCCGCGUGAGCGAAGAAGUAUCUCGGUAUGUAAAGCUCUAUCAGCAGGGAAGAAGAUGACGGUACCUGACUAAGAAGCACCGGCUAAAUACGUGCCAGCAGCUGCGUAAUCUGAGGCGGGCUGGCAAGGC
rnacentral:rRNA from 1 species